GGAUGCUGAGGCUGAGCAGGUGCAGGUUGGGCGGCAGCACCACGGCACGGGCGUGAGGACUUCUUUUAUGCUCAUUCUCCUGCCAGCGCAGAUCUAACAUUAAGACCUUCCAGGUCGGCCAGGAUGAACAAGUCGUAGGUGACAUUGGACAAGGCGGACCUUUGGAUCUGUGACACACACCAGAUUGGACCUUAAAACCCAAAUGGCAACCUUCUUGUGUCUAUACAGGUCAUAAUCAAUUCGGGAGAUGAGAUGACCGUCGAACCCGGCCAGGGCGAAGAGCACGGGCGCGGCGGCGGAGGC